CCUCCUUCCACGUGUUGGUCCCGCCUCCUACGUUGCAGUUUCCUGCUCCAUGUUCGAAAGUUCACCUGAGAAGUGUGUCCAGGUGCAUGUCUUUGGAAGUGGGAGGAAGCCGGAGUACCCGGAGGGAACCCACGCAGUCACGGGGAGAACAUGCAAACUCCACACAGAAAGAUCCCGAGCCUGGAUUUGAACCCAGGACUGCAGGAACUUCGUAUUGUGAGGCAGACGCACUAACCCCUCUGCCACCGUGAAGCCCCUGGAGUGUGACUUUUUCUUUAUUAGAGACGACCAGCUACAAAUCCAGCAUCUUUUUCUGCUGUUAUUGAGACUGUACUCAUAUUUAGUUUGGACAGGCGUUAGGCCUGUCUCAACAGGUCUGGUACUGGAUCAAGGACUUUCUAACAGACCGCAUCAGACAGUGAAGGAAAUUCCAUCAUCAAACCUGUGAAAGAUACUCCAGAGGUGGGACUCAUCACAGAAGGGGACGAGACUCCCAAUAGAGAAGAGGUGAAGGCACUGUCAGACCACUAUGACAACAUCUACCUCAUCAGCUCAUUGCUGAUCCAGCCCAUCUACAUCAUGGGAGAUGAGCUGGAAAGGGUCUCCGAGUGCAAGUUCCUGGGCAUGAACAUCUCAAGCAACAUGACCUGGAAAAGCAACACCACUAAACUCCAGAAAAAAGUUCAGCAAAUGCUGUAUUUUGUGAGAAGGCUGAGGACAAUAGAUGUGGUUAAUAACCUGCUGCUGUCCUUCUAUCGCUGCUCCGUUGACUCAAUACUGACCUACGGUAUUUCUGUGUGGUUUCCUAGCUGCAGGCUGGCAGAGAGAAAGAAAUGACAUCACUGCAUGUCCUCUCACAUCUCUUAUAAGAGACACAAACAGCGUCCUCAGGGACUUGAUCACUGCAUGUCCUCUCACAUCUCUUAUAAGAGACACAAACAGCGUCCUCAGGGACUUGAUCACUGCAUGUCCUCUCACAUCUCUUAUAAGAGACACAAACAGCGUCCUCAGGGACUUGAUCACUGCAUGUCCUCUCACAUCUCUUAUAAGAGACACAAACAGCGUCCUCAGGGACUUGAUCACUGCAUGUCCUCUCACAUCUCUUAUAAGAGACACAAACAGCGUCCUCAGGGACUCAUCCCAACCAUGAACUCUUGCCCUCAUGGAGGCGCGACAAGAGCAUCAAAACAAGGACAAAUAGACUGAAAAACAGUUUCUAUCCCAGAGCUGUUGUUGCCCUAAACUCUGCACUGACCUGAACACUCACAACUUGAUUAACUGAUAGAGAUCUGCUUUGCAAUAUGUUUUUAAAUGUUUAUUUU